rnacentral:misc_RNA from 1 species
GUGAAUCAUCGAAUUUUUGAACGCAAAUUGCACUCUCUUCGGAGAGUAUGCCUGUUUGAGGGUAAUUAAAAAGAAUCUUUAACCAAUUUUUUUGGUCAAAGGAAAUGAGUUCUCCGCGUUUAUAGCGGUAGCUUGAAAUAAAUGGUCAAGUCUCAUUUUGUCGGAGCGCCGAAUAAUAUUUAUUCCGCAAAAUUUCAUUAU